rnacentral:rRNA from 1 species
CUGGCGGCGUGCCUAAUACAUGCAAGUCGAACGGCUUUUCUAUGGAAGCUUGCUUCCACUGAGAAGAUAGUGGCGAAACGGGUGAGUAACACGUGGGGUAACCCUGCCCAUAAGAGGGGGGAUAACAUCCGGAAACGGGUGCUAAUACCGCAUAGUUUCUUGAUCGCAUGAUCGGGAAAGGAAAGACGGCCUUUGUGCUGUCGCUUAUGGAUGGACCCGCGGCGUAUUAGUUAGUUGGUGUGGUAACGGCUCACCAAGACGAUGAUACGUAGCCGACCUGAGAGGGUGAUCGGCCACAUUGGGACUGAGACACGGCCCAAACUCCUACGGGAGGCAGCAGUAGGGAAUCUUCCGCAAUGGACGAAGGUCUGACGGAGCAACGCCGCGUGAGUGAAAGAAGGUUUUCGGAUCGUAAAACUCUGUUGUCAGAGAAGAACAAGUUGGAGAGUAACUGCUCCAGCCUUGACGGUAUCUGACCAGAAAGCCACGGCUAACUACGUGCCAGCCGCCGC